GAUCAAGUGUCUUAAGGGCAUCUGGUGGAUGCCUUGGCACACACAGGCGAUGAAGGACGUGAUACGCUGCGAUAAGCGUCGGUUAGCUGCGAAUAAGCUUUGAUCCGACGAUUUCCGAAUGGGGAAACCCAACCUUGAUUACUGUAAGUGCGAAGCCGGCUCGUAAGAGCUUUCUUCGCUGUCCGGCUUCGGAUUUACAGUGAUCGAUAUAAGGUUAUCUUUACCUGAAUACAUAGGGUUAAGAGGCGAACGCAGGGAACUGAAACAUCUAAGUACCUGUAGGAAAGGAUAUCAAUUGAUACUCCGCUAGUAGUGGCGAGCGAACGCGGACCAGGCCAGUGGCAUAAGUGAGACAACUGGAACAGUCUGGAAAGACUGACCAUAGUGGGUGAUAGUCCCGUACAGGUAAUGCAAGCUUAUGUCCUCGAGUAAGGCGGGACACGUGAAAUCCUGUCUGAACAUGGGGGGACCACCCUCCAAGCCUAAGUACUAGUGUGUGACCGAUAGUGAACCAGUACCGUGAGGGAAAGGUGAAAAGCACCCCGACAAGGGGAGUGAAACAGUACCUGAAACCGGAUGCCUACAAACAGUCGGAGCCCGCAAGGGUGACGGCGUACCUUUUGUAUAAUGGGUCAACGACUUAGUUUAUUUAGCAAGCUUAAGCCGAUAGGUGUAGGCGUAGCGAAAGCGAGUCUGAAUAGGGCGAAUAGUUAAAUGAAUUAGACCCGAAACCGAGUGAUCUAGCCAUGGGCAGGCUGAAGGUGAGGUAACACUCACUGGAGGGCCGAACCCACGCCUGUUGCAAUAGGCGGGGAUGACCUGUGGCUAGGGGUGAAAGGCCAAUCAAACUCGGAAAUAGCUGGUUCUCUGCGAAAUCUAUUUAGGUAGAGCGUCAGUCGAAUACUCCAGGGGGUAGAGCACUGGAUGGGCUAGGGGGACUCACCGUCUUACCAAACCUAACCAAACUCCGAAUACCUGGAAGUACUAACUGGCAGACACACGGCGGGUGCUAACGUCCGUCGUGGAGAGGGAAACAACCCUGACCGCCAAUUAAGGUCCCCAAGUCAUGGCUAAGUGGGAAAGGAAGUGAAGAUCCCAAAACAACCAGGAUGUUGGCUUAGAAGCAGCCAUCAUUUAAAGAAAGCGUAACAGCUCACUGGUCUAAAUAAGGGUCUUUGCGCCGAAAAUGUAACGGGGCUAAAGCCAUGCACCGAAAUUGCGGGUGUGUACUUUGUACACGCGGUAGCAGAGCGUUCUGUAAGUCUGUGAAGGGAGACUCGUGAGAGCUCCUGGAGAUAUCAGAAGUGCGAAUGUUGACAUGAGUAACGAUAAAGGGAGUGAGAGACUCCCUCGCCGAAAGUCCAAGGGUUCCUGCUUAAAGUUAAUCUGAGCAGGGUUAGUCGGCCCCUAAGUCGAGGCAGAAAUGCGUAGACGAUGGGAAACAGGUUAAUAUUCCUGUACCUGGUGGAUGUGACGGAUGUCGAUAGUGGUUUGUCCUUAUUGGAUUGGGCAGGCCGCGUAGAUGUUCCAGGAAAUAGCACCACCAUAUAGACCGUACCCCAAACCGACACAGGUGGACAGGUAGAGAAUACUAAGGCGCUUGAGAGAACUAUGUUGAAGGAACUCGGCAAAUUACAUGCGUAACUUCGGGAUAAGCAUGACCUCGAUCGGGCAACCGAGAAGAGGUGGCACAGACCAGGGGGUGGCGACUGUUUAUCAAAAACACAGGGCUCUGCGAAGUUGCAAAACGACGUAUAGGGUCUGACGCCUGCCCGGUGCCGGAAGGUUAAAAGGAGAGGUGCAAGCCUUGAAUUGAAGCCCCGGUAAACGGCGGCCGUAACUAUAACGGUCCUAAGGUAGCGAAAUUCCUUGUCGGGUAAGUUCCGACCUGCACGAAUGGCGUAACGACUUCCCCGCUGUCUCCAACAUAGACUCAGUGAAAUUGAAUUCCCCGUGAAGAUGCGGGGUUCCUGCGGUUAGACGGAAAGACCCCGUGCACCUUUACUACAACUUUACACUGGUAUUCGUACUGGCAUGUGUAGGAUAGGCGGUAGACUUUGAAACGUGGGCGCCAGCUUGCGUGGAGUCAUCCUUGAAAUACCGCCCUUAUCAUUAUGGAUAUCUAACCGCGGCCCGUUAUCCGGGUCCGGGACAUUGUAUGGUGGGUAGUUUGACUGGGGCGGUCGCCUCCCAAAGAGUAACGGAGGCGCGCGAUGGUUGGCUCAGAGCGGUCGGAAAUCGCUCGUUGAGUGCAAUGGCAUAAGCCAGCCUGACUGCGAGACUGACAAGUCGAGCAGAGUCGAAAGACGGUCAUAGUGAUCCGGUGGUCCCGCGUGGAAGGGCCAUCGCUCAACGGAUAAAAGGUACGCCGGGGAUAACAGGCUGAUGACCCCCAAGAGUCCAUAUCGACGGGGUUGUUUGGCACCUCGAUGUCGACUCAUCGCAUCCUGGGGCUGGAGCAGGUCCCAAGGGUAUGGCUGUUCGCCAUUUAAAGCGGUACGUGAGUUGGGUUCAGAACGUCGCGAGACAGUUCGGUCCCUAUCUGCCGUGGGUGUAGGAAUAUUGACAGGAUCUGUCCCUAGUACGAGAGGACCGGGAUGGACGUACCAAUGGUGGAUCUGUUGUCACGCCAGUGGCAUAGCAGAGUAGCUAAGUACGGAAGGGAUAACCGCUGAAGGCAUCUAAGCGGGAAACCCACCUGGAAACUAGUAUUCCCUGAGAAUCGUGGAAGACUACCACGUUGAUAGGCUGGGUGUGGAAGUACGGCAACGUAUGAAGCUAACCAGUACUAAUAAUUCGAUCGGCUUGAUCGU
rnacentral:rRNA from 1 species